GGGGGUGACAGGAUUCGACGGAAAUGGUAGAGGUAAUGACAGCAGGUCGGAGUUAGUCGAUGGCUCCGAAAAAAUCGACUAAAAAAUAAACGACAAUGAAAUUAUUUCAACGCAAAACUUUAAUAGCUUUGUUGAUUCAAAUGUAGUACCUAUGGUUGCUUAGUUUGAUUUUAUUUUAUCUCUUAGAUUAUAAAAGCUAGGAGAAUGAAAAGUGGCAGAAAUAGGGUAGCUUUUAAAUAGCUUGUUCCGUCUAUUUAAAAUAAAAAAAUAAAACGGUACUGGUUUGUAACGUGUUUCCUGUUUGGAAGAUGGCGUUAUAAAUAAGAGAAUAUUUCCAAACUAAACCUGUAGUUGGUCUUACUAAAACAUUUUCGGACGCGGGUUCAAUUCCCGCCACCUCCACAC
rnacentral:tmRNA from 1 species